rnacentral:rRNA from 1 species
AUGUUGACUGGACCGAGUACAAGGCUAAGUGAGCAAAAUAUGAAACAAAAACUACGGGACCACAAUUGCGAGUCGAUGGUGGACUUGCAACAGGGGCUAUUACAACUAGACAAACACCAUAGUUGCGAGUCGAGGGUCGGCUUGCAGGUAGCAUCAAACAAAGAACCCGUUUGCAAAGUCGAGGGUCAACUUGCCCACAAUUGUGAGUCGAUGGUGGACUUGCAACUGCGGCAAUUACAACUAGAGAAACACCACAGUUGCGAGUCGAUUGUCGGCUUGCAAGUGGCAUCAAACAAAGGAACCCAGUUGUGA